ACUUCAUACUUUUCAGACCACCAAACAAACAGACCCUUGAAUACUUUCAAUGUUGGUUGGGGUUAUGGCUGCCAGGAUGUUUUCCCAGCCUCUGGCACCCAAUGGCUCCAGACUGUGCCGAGAAAGUUUUUGUUGUUGUUAUUUUGUUUUGUUUUUAUUUUUAUGAAUGGCUUUGGUAGAAAACGCAGACUGAAGCAUAAUACUACCACCAUUCAUAAAAAGGGAAAGGAAACAAACUGCUGUCUGGAAAGCUUUUUGGACGCCAAACAAACUGAGAUGGUUGUGCUCUGAGGAACAUAAAGCAGUCUGAAGUAAACAGUCGCACACAGACGCAACAACUACAGUAUCUUCAGGAUGCAAAGCCAUACAGGCGCUGUCAGUUCCCUUCUACUGGGGGGCAAGAAAACCUCCCUUUGAGCUGUGGUGACAGGGUUACAUGGGAGGGUUUGGUUGCUCUUCAGUUCAGAAGCCAUCACUGCCAGCACCUGCAACUUGCUGCUCUGCACCUUCUGCUCUGACCACUGGUGAGAGAAGUCACUCCUUCCUUCUCUUGCUCUUAAGAUCCCUCUUAAGUCCUGCAGGGUAACACCUGCUUGGCUGCCACAGAGGUGUCUGGGUCUCCUGGUGCCUUUAUGGAUACUCACCACUCAUGCAGGGUCUUCAGGGAGAAGAUGAAGAAAUC
rnacentral:lncRNA from 1 species